CUUUAGUGCCGCAGUGACUGCAGCAUUGUUCAAGUCCUUUUGUGGAAAACACAGCUAACCCCACUGACAAAACGGGAAGAGAGCCUGCCUCAGAAUAACCUGUUGACAUAUGGAGAAUGAUGGAAACAAAUGCUGCCUGGAUGUAAGCAGAAGGAACAUCUGAAAUGAAUCAUUUGAAAGCUGAGCACACGUUGGAUGAUACAGGCAGCAUGUGACACAAAAACUCUGUGAUGAAUGGAAUUAACUCUCAUUUUGAGAAGUGAAGUAUCUGCUUCAGCCCUGAUCCUUUCUGACAUCUUGAAAUGUCAAACUGAUAUCCAGUGGACUCUUGAACUCUGCUAUCUGCCAAGAAGAAAUUUGGGCCUUCGAGUUUUCAUUCUAGAAUGAAAUCUCUAGAUGUUAUCUAGCUAGAAGUAUAUUAUCCAUCCCCUUGGAAAUCGGGAUAACAGAUUUCGGGAAGGUGUCUGGUGCCAAUUUUGUUAUUAAAAUGUUGAUUAUAACCAUCUGAAUCAUCCACACCAGUUAUAAAUCCUAAAUAUUAGAUAUUCUUUUUCUUUGAGAUUUUAUUUCCACCUGCAUCAUUGCAUGGGCUUGCAGUGCACCAAUUUUCCUGAGCCCUUCUGUAAAAUGAAGAAAUUAUUCCACUCAUGCUUCAACUCUGACUUCAAAAUACCCAGGAACUGUCACACUGCCCAAUUGUUUUGGUAAAGUGUGAAUUGCACUUUUGCAAUGUGUGAUAGUUGAAAAAUUUCCCAAUUGGAUGAGAUUUUCCCCAUCUUAUGUAGCCUUUGGUCCAAUAAAAUAUAUUGUUCCUCCUGGUGGUCUGCAGUGAGAUUUUCAGGGAACUCAGCCUCGUAGAAGGAGUAGGCUUCCACAAAGCUGCAAUUAGACCUUGCUCAGCAUUUUUUGAAACGAUUGUUUCAGUAUAUUCCAAAGCCAGGUUUUACUCAGUAGGAAUGGAUAUUCAUGCCUCAUAAAAAGCUGAACAAAUACAGUUGUUUUUUGUUUGUUUGUUUUGUUUGUUUGUUUUGGUUUGGAUAUUUUUUAUUUUUAUUUAUUUUUUAUUUUUUUGCACAGAGGAUCAUUCAAAUGAUUGUAGCUCAUUUUGUGGAAUAGGUGUUAUGCUCAUUAACUUGUUUCUUAACAUCUGCACUGCAGCUUUGGCAGAUCACAGGAGACAGUUUGUUGGAGCGUGCUUUCAGAGGCACAUGAUGCCAAACCUUAUGUACUUAUUUCCACCUGAAAAAUCAGUUUCCAAAGUCCUUGAAAAAUCACUAGCCCCAUACAUCUGCA
ensembl:lncRNA